rnacentral:rRNA from 1 species
AUUGAACGCUGGCGGCAUGCCUUACACAUGCAAGUCGAACGGCAGCACGGGAGCAAUCCUGGUGGCGAGUGGCGAACGGGUGAGUAAUAUAUCGGAACGUGCCCGGUCGUGGGAAUAACGUAGCGAAAGCUACGCUAAUACCGCAUACGAUCUACGGAUGAAAGCGGGGGAUCGCAAGACCUCGCGCGAUUGGAGCGGCCGAUAUCAGAUUAGGUAGUUGGUGAGGUAAAGGCUCACCAAGCCGACGAUCUGUAGCUGGUCUGAGAGGACGACCCAGCCACACUGGGACUGAGACACGGCCCAGACUCCUACGGAGGCAGCAGUGGGGAAUUUUGGACAAUGGGCGCAAGCCUGAUCCAGCAAUGCCGCGUGCAGGAUGAAGGCCU